AUUGGGUUUAAAGGGAGCGUAGGCGGAUUGUUAAGUCAGCGGUUAAAGGGUGUGGCUCAACCAUACAUUGCCGUUGAAACUGGCGAUCUUGAGUGCAGACAGGGAUGCCGGAAUUCGUGGUGUAGCGGUGAAAUGCUUAGAUAUCACGAAGAACUCCGAUCGCGAAGGCAGGUGUCCGGGCUGCAACUGACGCUGAGGCUCGAAAGUGUGGGUAUCAAACAGGAUUAGAUACCCUGGUAGUCCACACAGUAAACGAUGUAUACUCGCGGUUUGCGAUAGACAGUAAGCCGCCAAGCGAAAGCAUUAAGUAUACCACCUGGGGAGUACGCCGGCAACGGUGAAACUCAAAGGAAUUGACGGGGACCCGCACAAGCGGUGGAUGAUGUGGAUUAAUUCGAUGCAACGCGAAGAACCUUACCUGGUCUUGACAUGUACGGAAUCCUCCAGAGAGGGAGGAGUGCCUUCGGGAGCCGUAACACAGGUGCUGCAUGGCUGUCGUCAGCUCGUGUCGUGAGAAG
rnacentral:rRNA from 1 species